rnacentral:rRNA from 1 species
GAUGAACGCUGGCGGCGUGCUUAACACAUGCAAGUCGAACGAUGAAGCCCAGCUUGCUGGGUGGAUUAGUGGCGAACGGGUGAGUAACACGUGAGUAACCUGCCCUUAACUCUGGGAUAAGCCUGGGAAACUGGGUCUAAUACCGGAUAGGAGCGUCCACCGCAUGGUGGGUGUUGGAAAGAUUUAUCGGUUUUGGAUGGACUCGCGGCCUAUCAGCUUGUUGGUGAGGUAAUGGCUCACCAAGGCGACGACGGGUAGCCGGCCUGAGAGGGUGACCGGCCACACUGGGACUGAGACACGGCCCAGACUCCUACGGGAGGCGGCAGUGGGGAAUAUUGCACAAUGGGCGAAAGCCUGAUGCAGCGACGCCGCGUGAGGGAUGACGGCCUUCGGGUUGUAAACCUCUUUCAGUAGGGAAGAAGCGAAAGUGACGGUACCUGCAGAAGAAGCACCGGCUAACUACGUG